rnacentral:rRNA from 1 species
AAUCCAUAGGUUAAUGAGGCGAACCGGGGGAACUGAAACAUCUAAGUACCCCGAGGAAAAGAAAUCAACCGAGAUUCCCCCAGUAGCGGCGAGCGAACGGGGAGGAGCCCAGAGCCUGAAUCAGCAUGUGUGUUAGUGGAAGCGUCUGGAAAGGCGCGCGAUACAGGGUGACAGCCCCGUACACAAAAGCGCAUGUGCUGUGAGCUCGAUGAGUAGGGCGGGACACGUGGUAUCCUGUCUGAAUAUGGGGGGACCAUCCUCCAAGGCUAAAUACUCCUGACUGACCGAUAGUGAACCAGUACCGUGAGGGAAAGGCGAAAAGAACCCCGGCGAGGGGAGUGAAAAAGAACCUGAAACCGUGUACGUACAAGCAGUGGGAGCACAGGUUUACCUGUGUGACUGCGUACCUUUUGUAUAAUGGGUCAGCGACUUAUAUUCUGUAGCAAGGUUAACCGAAUAGGGGAGCCGGAGGGAAACCGAGUCUUAAUUGGGCGUUAAGUUGCAGGGUAUAGACCCGAAACCCGGUGAUCUAGCCAUGGGCAGGUUGAAGGUUGGGUAACACUAACUGGAGGACCGAACCGACUAAUGUUGAAAAAUUAGCGGAUGACCUGUGGCUGGGGGUGAAAGGCCAAUCAAACCGGGAGAUAGCUGGUUCUCCCCGAAAGCUAUUUAGGUAGCGCCUCGUGAAUUCAUCUCCGGGGGUAGAGCACUGUUUCGGCUAGGGGGCCAUCCCGGCUUACCAACCCGAUGCAAACUGCGAAUACCGGAGAAUGUUAUCACGGGAGACACACGGCGGGUGCUAACGUCCGUCGUGAAGAGGGAAACAACCCAGACCGCCAGCUAAGGUCCCAAAGUCAUGGUUAAGUGGGAAACGAUGUGGGAAGGCCCAGACAGCCAGGAUGUUGGCUUAGAAGCAGCCAUCAUUUAAAGAAAGCGUAAUAGCUCACUGGUCGAGUCGGCCUGCGCGGAAGAUGUAACGGGGCUAAACCAUGCACCGAAGCUGCGGCAGCGACACUGUGUGUUGUUGGGUAGGGGAGCGUUCUGUAAGCCUGCGAAGGUGGCCUGUGAGGGUUGCUGGAGGUAUCAGAAGUGCGAAUGCUGACAUAAGUAACGAUAAAGCGGGUGAAAAGCCCGCUCGCCGGAAGACCAAGGGUUCCUGUCCAACGUUAAUCGGGGCAGGGUGAGUCGACCCCUAAGGCGAGGCCGAAAGGCGUAGUCGAUGGGAAACGGGUUAAUAUUCCCGUACUUGGUGUUACUGCGAAGGGGGGACGGAGAAGGCUAUGUUGGCCGGGCGACGGUUGUCCCGGUUUAAGCGUGUAGGUGUGUGUUCCAGGUAAAUCCGGUUCACUUUAACACUGAGGCGUGACGACGAGGCACUACGGUGCUGAAGCAACAAAUGCCCUGCUUCCAGGAAAAGCCUCUAAGCAUCAGGUAACAUCAAAUCGUACCCCAAACCGACACAGGUGGUCAGGUAGAGAAUACCAAGGCGCUUGAGAGAACUCGGGUGAAGGAACUAGGCAAAAUGGUGCCGUAACUUCGGGAGAAGGCACGCUGACACGUAGGUGAAGUGAUUUACUCAUGGAGCUGAAGUCAGUCGAAGAUACCAGCUGGCUGCAACUGUUUAUUAAAAACACAGCACUGUGCAAACACGAAAGUGGACGUAUACGGUGUGACGCCUGCCCGGUGCCGGAAGGUUAAUUGAUGGGGUCAGCGCAAGCGAAGCUCCUGAUCGAAGCCCCGGUAAACGGCGGCCGUAACUAUAACGGUCCUAAGGUAGCGAAAUUCCUUGUCGGGUAAGUUCCGACCUGCACGAAUGGCGUAAUGAUGGCCAGGCUGUCUCCACCCGAGACUCAGUGAAAUUGAACUCGCUGUGAAGAUGCAGUGUACCCGCGGCAAGACGGAAAGACCCCGUGAACCUUUACUAUAGCUUGACACUGAACAUUGAGCCUUGAUGUGUAGGAUAGGUGGGAGGCUUUGAAGUGUGGACGCCAGUCUGCAUGGAGCCGACCUUGAAAUACCACCCUUUAAUGUUUGAUGUUCUAACGUGGACCCGUUACCCGGGUUGCGGACAGUGUCUGGUGGGUAGUUUGACUGGGGCGGUCUCCUCCUAAAGAGUAACGGAGGAGCACGAAGGUUGGCUAAUCCUGGUCGGACAUCAGGAGGUUAGUGCAAUGGCAUAAGCCAGCUUGACUGCGAGCGUGACGGCGCGAGCAGGUGCGAAAGCAGGUCAUAGUGAUCCGGUGGUUCUGAAUGGAAGGGCCAUCGCUCAACGGAUAAAAGGUACUCCGGGGAUAACAGGCUGAUACCGCCCAAGAGUUCAUAUCGACGGCGGUGUUUGGCACCUCGAUGUCGGCUCAUCACAUCCUGGGGCUGAAGUAGGUCCCAAGGGUAUGGCUGUUCGCCAUUUAAAGUGGUACGCGAGCUGGGUUUAGAACGUCGUGAGACAGUUCGGUCCCUAUCUGCCGUGGGCGCUGGAGAACUGAGGGGGGCUGCUCCUAGUACGAGAGGACCGGAGUGGACGCAUCACUGGUGUUCGGGUUGUCAUGCCAAUGGCACUGCCCGGUAGCUAAAUGCGGAAGAGAUAAGUGCUGAAAGCAUCUAAGCACGAAACUUGCCCCGAGAUGAGUUCUCCCUGAGACUUAGAGUCUCCUGAAGGAACGUU